rnacentral:rRNA from 1 species
CCAAUAGCGUAUAUUAAAGUUGCUGCAGUUAAAAAGCUCGUAGUUGAAUUUCGGGACCAAUAUGUCGGUCGUGCCUCGGUACGUACUGGCAUCGUUGGUUUCUCCCUUCUGACGAACCAUGAUGUCAUUUAUUUGGUGUCGUGGGGAAUCAGGACUGUUACUUUGAAAAAAUUAGAGUGUUUAAAGCAGGCUCACGCUUGAAUACAUUAGCAUGGAAUAAUGAAAUAGGACGUUUGAUUCUAUUUUGUUGGUUUCUAGGAUCGACGUAAUGAUUAAUAGGGAUAGUUGGGGGCAUUAGUAUUCAAUUGUCAGAGGUGAAAUUCUUGGAUUUAUUGAAGACUAACUACUGCGAAAGCAUUUGCCAAGGAUGUUUUCAUUAAUCAAGAACGAAAGUUAGGGGAUCGAAGACGAUCAGAUACCGUCGUAGUCUUGACCAUAAACUAUGCCGACUAGGGAUCGGAUGAUGUUAAUUUUUUAAUGACUCAUUCGGCGCCUUACG